rnacentral:rRNA from 1 species
CCUACGGGGGGCUGCAGUCGAGAAUAUUCCUCAAUGGGCGAAAGCCUGAAGGAGCGACGCCGCGUGUAUGAAGAAGCCUUUCGGGGUGUAAAGUACUUUUAUUAGAGAUGAAACAAUGACCGUAUCUAAUGAAUAAGGGGCUGCUAACCUCGUGCCAGCAGCAGCGGUAAUACGAGGGCCCCAAGCAUUAUCCGGAUUUAUUGGGCGUAAAGCGUCCGUAGGCGGUUUGUCGCAUCUCCUGUUAAAUCCUCUGGCUUAACCAGGGGGCUGCGGGAGAGAUGGAUAAACUAGAGACUGGAAGAGGCAAGCGGAAUUGCUGGUGUAGGGGUUAAAUCCGUUAAUAUCAGCAGGAACACUCAAUGCGAAAGCAACUUGCUGGGACAGUUCUGACGUUCAUGGACGAAAGCGUGGGGAGCGAAUGGGAUUAGAUACCCCGGUAGUC